rnacentral:antisense_RNA from 1 species
CAGUUAGUGGGAAAAAAUCUACAUCUUUAGGUUCUCGUGAUGCUACAGCUGCUGUCAAUACAACCGUGUCACCAUAACGCACUAAAACAGACCCAUUUGCUUGUUUCGCUAACUGUCCUACUUCUACUGAUAGAGGGCGUCCGCCCCAGUCCAUCGAAAAUACUUUUUUCUCUGUCAUUCUCUUUAUCUCCUUUUAGUCUAUUCGAAAAGAAUGAGUCCCUACUAAACAAAGGUCAAUCGCUUUUCCUAAAAAAAGCCACUCACAUUUGCAUAGUAGUG